GGAAUAUUGGUCAAUGGCCUAACGGCUGAACCAGCAACUUGCAGGAAUGAGAGUUAAUAUAAUAAGUUUAUUAACUUGCUUGACUAGGUCUUAUAAAGUUCUGGAUAAAGCUUAUUAUGAAAACUUUAUAUCCAUAGGUCUCGACCAAAUCUUGUGCCAGCAGUCGCGGUAAGACAAGGGAGACAAGUGUUAUUCAUCUUUAACAGGUAUAUAGGGUACCUAGACGGUGUAAAAUGGCUUGAAUAAGUACCUAUUACACUUGAGUUUGAUAUGGGAGAGGAAUAUGUCGGAAUUGUUGGUGUAAAGAUGAAAUUUGCUAAUACCAAUAGGACCGGUAACGGCGAAGGCAAACCUCUAUGUACAUAUACUUGCUUAUUCUAUAGAAGAAUUGAUUUGAAAUUAUAAUUGGAUUCUAAAGGAGAAUUACUCUUUCUUACUAGAUUGAAAAUGAAAGUGAAGAAAACGCUUAAAUGCAUAAAGAGGAAAGGCAAGCUAUUAUAACUGACGUUGAGGGACGAAGGCUCAGAGAGUGAAGAGGAUUAGAUACCCCCGUAGCCUGGGCAGACAAUGAUGAGUGCCAUAGGUUGGCUUUACGCGGAACUAUAAAUGAAAGUGCAAGCACUCCACCUCAAGAGUAAUGUGGCAACGCAGGAACUGAAAUCAUUAGACCGUUUCUGAAACCAGUAGUGAAGUAUGUUAUUUAAUUCGAUGAUCCUCGAAUAACCUUACCACAAUUUGAAUGACCUAAAAUAUUUUUUUAGACCACAUGCGUUGCAUGGCUGUCUUCAGUUAAUGUCGUGAGAUUUGGUUAGGUCCAUUAAAUUAACGUAAACCCUUGUUUUAUUUAUUACUAUAAAGCAGCUCUCCGCUUACAAUUGGAUGUGAUAAUAGGGACUAAGACAAGUCAUCAUGGCCUUAAUAUUGUGGGCUAUAAGGACUAAGACAAGUCAUC
rnacentral:rRNA from 1 species